UACGUAGGGCGCAAGCGUUGUCCGGAAUUAUUGGGCGUAAAGAGCUCGUAGGCGGUUUGUCGCGUCUGCUGUGAAAACCUAAGGCUCAACCUUGGGCUUGCAGUGGGUACGGGCAGACUAGAGUGCGGUAGGGGUGACUGGAAUUCCUGGUGUAGCGGUGGAAUGCGCAGAUAUUGGAAAGACCACCGAUGGCGAAGGCACUCUACUGGGCCG
rnacentral:rRNA from 1 species